rnacentral:rRNA from 1 species
GUGGGGAAUCUUGCGCAAUGGGCGAAAGCCUGACGCAGCCAUGCCGCGUGAAUGAUGAAGGUCUUAGGAUUGUAAAAUUCUUUCACCGGGGACGAUAAUGACGGUACCCGGAGAAGAAGCUCCGGCUAACUUCGUGCCAGCAGCCGCGGUAAUACGAAGGGGGCUAGCGUUGCUCGGAAUUACUGGGCGUAAAGGGCGCGUAGGCGGACAGCUUAGUCAGAGGUGAAAGCCCAGGGUUCAACCUUGGAAUUGCCUUUGAUACUGGCUGUCUUGAGUUUGGGAGAGGUGAGUGGAACUCCGAGUGUAGAGGUGAAAUUCGUAGAUAUUCGGAAGAACACCAGUGGCGAAGGCGACUCACUGGCCCAAUACUGACGCUGAGGCGCGAAAGCGUGGGGAGCAAACAGGAUUAGAUACCCCUGUAGUCC